rnacentral:sRNA from 1 species
AGUGCCAGGGGGUGCCAUUGUGAGGGAUGGACGCCUCUCCCCCGGAGCAGCACUUUGGAGCCAGCUUCGGCCCUGGGGAUGAGCCACAGGGGACCCACAGCCCAUGUGUGUGAGCAUGUAACCCGGGAGCCAGCUGGGCCCCUCGUGGGGUGGGCAGAAGGACGGGCUGGCCCAGGACCCUCUUCUUUGAGACAUCCUGGACUCCAUUUCAGAUGAAAGUGCUUUGAGAAACCACAGAGUUUUCUGUUUAAUGGAAGAAGGAAACCCAUCCUCUCUCCAGAGUGGCGGUGGCCGGCUGGAUAGGGCUGUGGCUCUUACCCGUGCCGCGCUUUCACAUCCGCUCACAUCUGUGCUCCCAGAUGCCAGCGUGACCCCUGACAUGUGUGUGCAGCAACCUGCAGCUGCCCCAAGCCAUGGCUGAACACUGACUCCCAGCCGUGGGGCUUCACCAUUACAGACUCCCCGGGGCUUCAAAGACUUCUCAGCUUCGAGCAUGGCCUUUUGGGUGUCAGGGCAGCUGUACAAUAGUGG